CCUCUUCAAUUUGUUGAGGACAGAUGAAAUGAACGUGGCUGUCCAUACCACCAUAAGUAACAAUUUUAUUCUCAGCUGAUAUAACAUCUGUAGAAGAUCCAAUGACCAUGUUUUCUCCAAUGUUAUCCAUUGUAUCCGGGUUUCCUGCUUUACCUAUACCUACGAUAUAUCCGUUUUUGAUGCCAAUGUCAGCCUUGUAGAUACCGGUAUGAUCAAUGAUUACAGCAUUUGUAAUUACAGUGUCCAAGCAUUCGUCCAUUGAUUUUGAGCUAGACUGUCCCGUACCAUCACG
rnacentral:sRNA from 1 species